UCAAUUUUGAAUAUAUGUAUAUUUUUGAAUGAAUUAUUGAUAUAAAUCAAUUUUAUAUUAUUAUUUUUAUUUGAAUAUGUAUGUCAAGUAACAUAAGCCUAUUACUUUUUACUAGUCCAUGUAAUGGACUUCCGAUUUUUUUAAUACCAUAAACCCUUUAUUUUUUUUUUCCUAACUUACUGCCAUUCAUGUUUCCAAACAUCAUUAUAUUUAUUUUUUACUAAUAUUCAUGUUUCCAAACAAAUAUUAAAGGUAAAUCUACUUUAAUAAGAUAAAUUUAUUUUUUAUUAUUAUCCAUGUUUCUAAAUAAAUACUAAAGGUAUUUUUACUUUAAUAUAAAUUAUUGAUAAAUGUGUAGUAAAUGGUAUAAAGAAGAAGAAGGUGUGAUGUUUACACGUUGGGGCCCAAAAUCAAAGAUGGGUCCAAUAUGCCAACUACCAUUUAUUUGUUUAUUUAGAGCAAGAGAGAGAAACCUUAAUGGUGACAAAAAAGACAGUAGAGACUAGAGAGGUACCGUCGAUUGUCAUUCAACCACUCACCCGUCACUCCAAAACCUGUAUAUCUCACUAAUAGUUAUUGAUAGAUCUGAUGAUAACCUGGGUUAUAAUUCUCAGCCGUUCAUCCAGAUUUGCAGGAAAAGCUAGUUUUUAAGGAAUCUGCCUUUUCCUUAUUUGUAAUACUAAAUACUAUGUAUAUUCUUACAUUCUUUAUAUUAUAUAGUAACUUUUUUUUUGAAAAAAACAUCUAAAUUUUCAUAAAAAUUAAAUUUUCUUUAUAUUAUAUAGUAACUUGCAAUGUAGAAUCAACUUAAUUGCCUUAAUCAUUUUCAGAUCACCAUGAUCAUAAUCGUUUUUGAAGUCAUCUAAACUUUAAACUCUACCAAAAUUGAAACGUUUAUUUUAAUGGUUGUAUCAGCUAUAUGCUAUUAUUUAAAGUACUAAUGAAUAUUUGAAAUUUCACUUUUCUGAAUCCAUGUACUCGAAGAGAAGAGAAUGUUCUCCAUGUUCUAAAACUCGCCCGAGUUACCGUUUAAUCGGAUGAGUACUCGCUCCUCGGCAACUCACCGUGGCGAAUUCGUCAAAAUCGGAUGAAAAAUCGGAUUUAUUAACAAAAAAAAAAAUUGGUUUUUAAUGCUUGAAAUCGAAUAUGAGAUGAGAGAUCUACAAAUAUACUGAACAAACAAGUAGAAAACAACAGAAUUUAAGUGAUUGGUGAUAGAUUUAUUAUGUUAGCUAUGGUGGAAUAUGCAAAAAACAAGAACGAUGGAUAAAGGAAGAAGAAGACUUAAUUACUAUUUUGCCACACAUUAAAAGAAAACAUUAAAAAUAAAAAUAAAACAGGUUUUUUGCUAUUCGAACACGUGAGUUGCAAACUUAACUAACACAAAAACCACUAGACUAAACUAUAUCUUUAGAACUUUAGAAAAAUCGUUAAAUAAAAUGUAUUAUCUUGUAUUAUACGUAUAAAUAAAGUAUUAUACGUAUAAAAUACAGAAAAUUUCUCUCCGCGUACUCUCCGAUUUUUUUCCGCUUUUUCAAUAAAUCGCUAGGCCCGGGUGUACCGCACGCGUAGCGCCUAACGAGUUUUCGAACAUGGCUAUUACCAAACUGCCUCUAAGAAUAUUCGACCAGAAUUAUACUAGUCACGGUCAUUAACUUCUUGGUCAACGUUGUGGACUUGUACAUGUUUCUAAUUUUUACGGCUACUGUUUAUCUUAGCAUACUUCUGCCUCGCUCAACACCAAUUCCGCACCUGUACGUCCGUUCGGAAUAUUUAUUACUCUUUAGCAGUAUUUUGGUUUUGGUACAUAGAGAGAUCUAUAAAUGGUGAUAGAGAAACGUGUGGAAGCGCAUGAAACACGUUAUCUAUACUAUACUAAAAGGAGAUAUGGUAAGUGGGGAGUGACAAAUUAAAUCAGCCAAUCAUAUGGUGUUUGAUUUGCCACAUCAGCUUAGCUUCUGAGUUAUCGAAAAAAAAUUCGGCUGCAUUAGAUUUCGCUACAAAUUUCAAAACCCAAUAAAAGCUCAAUGUUUAAUGGCCCAUUUAAAUAUUUACACCAAUAAGAUAUUCCUAAAACUCCAUCUCACCAAUCAGGCGUCCCAAAAUGACUCUUGACUUUUUCUUUUUUUCUCCUCAUACUCAACAUUUCUUAAAACGAUGGUCUUCUCAUCUCCCAUACCUUCCUCCAUCUCUCAUGAUUAUAUAUUGAUCCAAUCCACAAACUCACUACCUAUAGAUCAUUUCGAUUGUUUGAUUCAAUUUCUUCACUACGAAAUACAAUUUUCCAAUUUUAAAAUACAAUUCAAACGAUUGUACCAUAUCUCAAACCGUUUUGAUAUGUUUCCAGGCCUAUAUGGUGGUGCGUUCGGACCUAAAGGCACUGAGAUAGUACAACUUCAUCGUAAGUAUGGACACUGGAGUGAUGCCAGGGAAAGUAACUCCUCAGAUACUGAAAUCUUUGAAUAUACUGAGGCGGUGAAGUUACAUUGGAUCCAAAUGUGUUGGCUGGCCAGGUUAAUAAUCUAUUUAGUGCUGUAACUUUUUCCGUAUCAUGUAUGGGAUAAAAAAAAAUGGUCAUAAAUUCUUGGUGUGGGAACCGAAAUUUGGACUGUCGAUUCCCGUUUAAAUAAGGAAACUAGGAAAAUUCUAAUU